UUCUAAUCUAUUGAUGGGAAAUGAAAAGGAGCCCAGAAAUGUAAUUUAAGGAUGACCUCUCCGGUGGGUGAAUAUGAAAAACAGGCUUGUUUUCUUUUCUAAAGAAAUGCUGGCGUGCUUGACUUUAGUGAAUCAAGAGAAUUGUUUGGCAAAUAACAGUGAUGGCUUGUGUCCUUGUCAGAACACCUGCUGUAUUCUCCCGGCAAACACUGGGGCCAUGGUGUUUCUCCUCUAAUGACACCUCAUCAAUCCGCUCCUAUCAACGUCCCAGCCACGGAGGUGACUCGGAGUGCUCAGAAGCUAUAGAAAAUGUCAACGUUUUGGGAGAAAAGCUUUCUCCAUCCUUGUGUCUCUGCAGUUCAGUGACCUCAACACGGGAGGAGAAAUGUGUGUGUCCCAGAAGCCCCACAUGUUGGUCAAGCCAGCUGAGAAGGUAUACAGUUUAUCAUUUACAUCUUUUAAUUGCACAUUCUCUUUCACUCCUCACCAUCAAACACACCUUAUGGCCAUGAACAUUUCUUGUUAUUCCACUUAAUGGAUACAGAAGAAGAGGGGAAGGGAAAUUAAUGUUCAAACUAACGAUCACCUCCUCUGGGAAGUAUUUGGCUUCGUGGCAGAUUAAGCCUAUUGGGCUGUAUGACGGGCAGUGGUUUGGGUGGGAGAUUCGUGCUUGGAUUAUUUUUUGUUAGCACCGCUGUUAAAUAUUUCACCUCUUUGAGAAUAAUUUCUUCAUAGAUAUAUAUAGUUGCUGGUUUUCAUGCUGGAUGAAAUAAUUCUGUGCCCAC
rnacentral:lncRNA from 1 species